UACGAAGGUCCCAAGCGUUAUCCGGAUUUAUUGGGUUUAAAGGGUGCGUAGGCGGGUUAUUAAGUCAGUGGUGAAAGCCUUCAGCUCAACUGAAGAACUGCCAUUGAUACUGAUGAUCUUGAGUAUGAUUGAGGUGGGCGGAAUGUGUCAUGUAGCGGUGAAAUGCUUAGAUAUGACACAGAACACCGAUUGCGAAGGCAGCUCACUAAGUCAUAACUGACGCUGAUGCACGAAAGCGUGGGGAGCAAACAGG
rnacentral:rRNA from 1 species